UUUAUAAAUUAAACACAUGGUAUUUAUAUAGAAAUUGCAAAUUAAACACCAGUGUUUAAUUCGUUAUGAUAGAAAAUGACGCAGUUGAUUAUGUCAUAACAUGCCAUUUGAACGCAGAAGAUGCAGAAUCACGCACAUACUGACAAGAAACACCAUAUCUAGCCAGGAAAUAGGAGGGACAUUCAUCUGUUACUGUGAAUCCUGAGAAGAAAACAUUACUUGUUAAAGGAAAGGGAUUUAAACAAAGAUCAUACUUAACCUUGAGAGGAUAUGGAGGAAUUAGAACUACUUCGGGUGAAAACAGUUUUGGAGAAUGGAAAACUGGAGAUCAUUAUCCUUUGUAGAAGAACCUGAAUUUUACCCACAACCAGAGGAGCUUGACUGUUUAACUCAGUUAGAAAAUGAUAUGGAUAUUAAGUGAGUGAUACCCCUGCAGCUCUUGUUUAGUAGCAAGAAUUAGUCCUUUACAAGUCAAAACUGGAAAUUUUAUUCAUUUGGUUAAAAAUCUGAAUAUUUGUGAAAGUAUAAAGUUGUAACAUUUACAACUAGAUUUAUGAGUGUAAUACAAGUACAUAUUAUACAUGCUGUACCCAGACAACAAAUUAUUAUUUUCAGUUUUUUUGCAUCAUAUUUAUUCGUCA